rnacentral:rRNA from 1 species
GAGUGCGUAACAGCUCACUAGUCUAGUUUCUUUGCACCGACAGUAUAUCGGGGCUAAGCCAAAUACCGAAUUUUUGAUCUUCGUAGGAUUUGAUAUCCUCCGGAGAGGUAGGCGAGUGUUAUAUGGGCCAUGAAGCUUGAGCGUGAGCACAAGUGGAGCCCACAUAAGUAAGAAUGCCGGCGUGAGUAACGUAUGAAAGUGAAAAUCUUUCUAGCCGAUUGACUAAGGUUUCCAGGGCAAGGGUCGUCCUCCCUGGGUUAGUCGGUCCUAAGGCCAGGCCGAAAGGCGUAACCGAUGGAUAGCAGGUUAAUAUUCCUGCACUAAUUUGGCUGGCGAUGGGUUGACGAAAGAGGUUACUGCGGGCGGGUUAUUGGAUUCCCGUUCAAGUGUCGAGUAUGAGAAGCAGGCAAAUCCACUUCUCGUUAAGUAUGAGGCACGAGUACGAGCGAAAGAAGAAAUUCAACUAGCGAAGCCGCAUACAUCAUAUUUCCGAGAAAAGACUCUAGCUUAACAGUCAAGUAACCGUACCGAGAACGAACACACGUGGUCAAGGAGAAUAUCCUAAGGCUAUCGAGAUAACUACAGUUAAGGAACUCUGCAAAUUAGCCCCGUAACUUCGGGAGAAGGGGUGCCUGUCUUGUACAGGUCACAGUAAAGAAUGAGGGGGGACUGUUUAACAAAAACACAGCUAUAUGCAAAAGCGAAAGCUAAGGUAUAUGUGGCGACACCUGCCCAGUGCCAGAAGG